UACGUAGGGGGCUAGCGUUGUCCGGAAUCAUUGGGCGUAAAGCGCGUGUAGGCGGCCCGAUAAGUCCGCUGUGAAAGUCCAGGGCUCAACCCUGGGAUGCCGGCGGAUACUGUCGGGCUCGAGUCCGGAAGAGGCGAGUGGAACUCCUGGUGUAGCGGUGAAAUGCGCAGAUAUCAGGAGGAACACCAAUGGCGAAGGCGGCUCUCUGGGACGGUACUGACGCUGAGACGCGAAAGCGUGGGGAGCGAACGGG
rnacentral:rRNA from 1 species